rnacentral:rRNA from 1 species
GAGUUUGAUCAUGGCUCAGGACGAACGCUGGCGGCGUGCUUAACACAUGCAAGUCGAGCGAUGAAGCCCCUUUGGGGGUGGAUUAGCGGCGGACGGGUGAGUAACACGUGGGUAACCUGCCUCAAAGAGGGGGAUAGCCUCCCGAAAGGGAGAUUAAUACCGCAUAAAGCAGAAUUCCACAUGGAGUUUUGAUGAAAGGAGUAAUCCGCUUUGAGAUGGACCCGCGGCGCAUUAGCUAGUUGGUGGGGUAACGGCCUACCAAGGCAACGAUGCGUAGCCGACCUGAGAGGGUGAUCGGCCACAUUGGAACUGAGAGACGGUCCAGACUCCUACGGGAGGCAGCAGUGGGGAAUAUUGCACAAUGGGCGAAAGCCUGAUGCAGCAACGCCGCGUGAGUGAUGAAGGUCUUCGGAUUGUAAAGCUCUGUCUUCUGGGACGACAAUGACGGUACCAGAGGAGGAAGCCACGGCUAACUACGUGCCAGCAGCCGCGGUAAUACGUAGGUGGCAAGCGUUGUCCGGAUUUACUGGGCGUAAAGGAUGUGUAGGCGGAUAUUUAAGUGAGAUGUGAAUCCCCGGGCUUACUUGGGGGCUGCUUUCAACUGGAUGUCUAGAGUGCAGGAGAGGAAGCAGAAUUCUAGUGAGCGGUGAAUGCGUAGAGAUAGGAAGAUACCGUGGCGAAGCGGCUUCUGGCUGUACUGACCUGAGGAUGAAGCGUGGGAGCAACAGGAUAGAUACCCUGGUAGUCACGCCGUAACGAUGAUACUAGUGUAGGAGGAUCGACUCCUCUGUGCCCAGUUACACAUAAGAUUCC